rnacentral:rRNA from 1 species
CCGGCGACCGGCGCACGGGUGAGUAACACGUAUGCAACCUGCCCGUGGCAGGGGGAUAAGCGGGGGAAACCCCGUCUAAUACCGCGUAACGCGGCCUUGGGGCAUCCCAAGGCCGCCAAAGGGAGCAAUCCCGGCCACGGAUGGGCAUGCGGCGCAUUAGCUAGUCGGCGGGGUAACGGCCCACCGAGGCGACGAUGCGUAGGGGUUCUGAGAGGAAGGCCCCCCACACUGGUACUGAGACACGGACCAGACUCCUACGGAAGGCAGCAG